AACUUUCUGAAACCAUGCAGAGAUUUCGUCAGACACCAACCCAUUUAAGCUGAUCAGACUUCCAAGAUAAGUAAAGUU
rnacentral:pre_miRNA from 1 species